rnacentral:lncRNA from 1 species
CUCCUACCAAAGCAGUAUAGUAUUCAUUAAUAACUAUGAACCUCAUUUUCAAGGAUUUCCUAGCCUGGUACCAAAAAGAGCCAGGUUAGCACAAGAUUCAGACAUGAUGUAAUAGUGUGCCAAUUAAAUGCAAGCUGUUUGGGACCACAAAAGAGAGAGAGCCAUCAAUUUUUCCUUCCUGGAAUUCUGCAAGGCUUUUCAGAGUGUACCACAUUCAAGGAAUGGGCCAAGUUCUCAAGGCAGAGAAUCAUCUAGGUCCAUAAUCCAGAAAUAUGUCCUGUGGUUUCCUGUAGAAGAAAAGGCAGCUGAGAAAACAUAGCUAAGUAAAAGAAAGUGGAAAUGUUGAAGAACAAUGGACAUUCAGAAGAGCCUGUACUUUGCCUACAUUCACUAUUGAGGCUCUAUCCUCAGCAUGGAAGGUGGCUUCGGUUCUGGCAUCACAAAAUCAUCAGAGAAAGGACAAGUGAAAGCUUUGUGACAGUGGUGUCUCUCUGGAGAAGACUGGAAUACCACUUUCCCCGAAAUCCACAUCUGCUCUGAAGAACAUGUUUGUGCUCUGGAGUCAGUCCUUGGACCCAAGUUUCCUACUGUACAACAGGGAUCAUGGUGCAGCCUCACUUGUCAUUCACUCAACAUGCCUAGUGAAAGCAUCUUCAUAUACCUUUGCCCUUCCAUGGGCUUCACAUACAAGUGUUUUCCAUAUACAUUUGCUCAAUAAGUGCUUGUUGAAUUAAAAUUCCUGCUCUAGCAUUCUUGUUGAGUAAAGUACUUCCUCUAAGAUAGAAUCUACAUCAAUGUCUCGUUACCCUAUACAUGUCCCAUUUGUCUUAGUUUGGUUUUAUUGCUGUGAAGAAACACCAUAACCACUGCAACUCUUAUCAAGAAAACAUUAAUUUGAGAGAUCUUACUUACAGUUUCCAAGGUUCAGUCCAUUAUCAUCAUGACAAGGAGCAUGGCAGUGUACAGGCAGAAAUGGUACUAGAGCUGCAAGUGCUACGUCUUAACUCAGAGGCAUCAGGAAACCUACUAAAAGUCACAGGAAGGGAAGUGUAAAUGGAGGUUUCUAUCCCGUCUGCCAAUUCCUAAAUAACCACUCUGAGGCUUAAUAUUAAUUAAAUAUUCUUGGUCAAUGGCUCAGGCAUAUUAAUUACUAGCACUCACAAUUAAGUUAACCCAUUUUUACUAACUAACACAUUUCCUAAUAUGUAUCACUUCAUUGCCAUAACUUACCACUAAUGUUUUGGCAU